rnacentral:rRNA from 1 species
CGAUAUCGACGAGUUGAUCCUGGCUCAGAACGAACGCUGGCGGCAUGCCUAACACAUGCAAGUCGAACGAGACCUUCGGGUCUAGUGGCGCACGGGUGCGUAACGCGUGGGAAUCUGCCCUUUGCUUCGGAAUAACACAGAGAAAUUUGUGCUAAUACCGGAUAAUGUCGCAAGACCAAAGAUUUAUCGGCAAAGGAUGAGCCCGCGUAAGAUUAGGUAGUUGGUGGGGUAAUGGCCUACCAAGCCGACGAUCUUUAGCUGGUCUGAGAGGAUGAUCAGCCACACUGGGACUGAGACACGGCCCAGACUCCUACGGGAGGCAGCAGUGGGGAAUAUUGGACAAUGGGCGAAAGCCUGAUCCAGCAAUGCCGCGUGAGUGAUGAAGGCCUUAGGGUUGUAAAGCUCUUUUACCCGGGAUGAUAAUGACAGUACCGGGAGAAUAAGCUCCGGCUAACUCCGUG